rnacentral:misc_RNA from 1 species
AUUUGGAUGAAUAUAUUAUAUAACUUAUUAUGUAUAGCAUCGAACACUUACCACCAUACAAAAAAUUAAACUUUUAGCAGGACGCAACUCUAACCCAUUAUAGCAUAGCAGCCCAAACGCUAUGGAUUGAAUAGAUUUGAGUAAAAUGCUAGCUCACUGAGCUAUCCUCAUUCAAUGCCAAUAGUCCACCCCCAGAACCUAUAAGGGAUUUAAACCCAUUACAUUGGAUGUAAUUUCAAUUGUAGAAUCAAGCAAUUACCACAGUGACAAAAGUUUAUACUUUUAGCAAUAGCACAACUCUAACAUCUUAUGACAUAACAAUCUAAGCACCAUAAG